rnacentral:rRNA from 1 species
UACGGAGGAUGCAAGCGUUAUCCGGAUUUAUUGGGUUUAAAGGGUGCGUAGGCGGGCUAUUAAGUCAGUGGUGAAAGCCCCAAGCUUAACUUGGGAACUGCCAUUGAUACUGAUGGUCUUGAGUACAUUUGAGGUGGGCGGAAUGUGUCAUGUAGCGGUGAAAUGCUUAGAUAUGACACAGAACACCGAUUGCGAAGGCAGCUCACUAAACUGUAACUGACGCUGAGGCACGAAAGCGUGGGGAGCAAACAGG